GCUGUUGCAACAAGUUUAAUCAGAAAGUAUUUAAAAAACGGAAUCUGUAUAUAUGUGCUCAAUAACUCUAGACUAAAUAUUUGUAUGUGGAGAGGUUCUAAUUCGUUACUUUUACUACGCGAUUCACAAUAAUAUGAGCUAACUCAAAAAUUAAAAAAAAAAAAUGUUACAGUCAAAAAUUACAUUCGGCUCUGAAUUACUCAAUGUUUCUACAUUUUAUGGAUUCUAUAACCAACUGUAAAGCUUAACUCUUCUUCUUCGGUGAAAACGUUUCACGUUCGUUCUCAAGUUCUGCUAAUGCGUUGUAUUCAAGAUCAUGUCAGCUGUUUAUUUAGCAACAUUAAUGUUCAAGUUUAUUUUUCACGGAGCACGCCUGUUUCGAUUAGUUAAAUCACAAUUUCGUUGAACUCUAGUGAGAUACGAGCAUUUAUUUCUUCUUAUAUCACUCGCGGAGAAGUA